rnacentral:rRNA from 1 species
UACGAAUCGUCCAACCGUUGUUCGGAUUUACUGGGUUUAAAGGGCGCGUAGGCGGUGCGUUAAGUCGGCGGUGAGAUACUUCGGCUCAACCGGAGAAUUGCCGCUGAAACUGGCGUGCUCGAGGGAGGUAGAGGUGCGUGGAACUUCCGGUGGAGCGGUGAAAUGCGUUGAUAUCGGAAGGAACACCUGUGGCGAAAGCGAUGCACUGGACCUCUUCUGACGCUGAGUGCGCGAAAGCCAGGGGAGCGAACGGG